GACGAACGCUGGCGGCGUGCUUAACACAUGCAAGUCGAACGGAAAGGCCCUGCUUUUGUGGGGUGCUCGAGUGGCGAACGGGUGAGUAACACGUGAGUAACCUGCCCUUGACUUUGGGAUAACUUCAGGAAACUGGGGCUAAUACCGGAUAGGAGCUCCUGCUGCAUGGUGGGGGUUGGAAAGUUUCGGCGGUUGGGGAUGGACUCGCGGCUUAUCAGCUUGUUGGUGGGGUAGUGGCUUACCCAGGCUUUGACGGGUAGCCGGCCUGGGGGGGUGACCGGCCCCUUUGGGACUAAGAAACGGCCCAGACUCCUACGGGGGGCAGGAGGGGGGAAUUUUGCCCAAGGGGCGGAACCCUGUGCCAGCAACGCCGCGGGCGGGAUGACGGCCUUGGGGUUGUAAACCGCUUUCCCCUGUGACGAAGGGGGGGUGACGGUAAUGGGAAAAGAAGCCCCGGCUAACUACGU
rnacentral:rRNA from 1 species